rnacentral:rRNA from 1 species
UACGUAGGGUGCAAGCGUUGUCCGGAAUUAUUGGGCGUAAAGAGCUCGUAGGCGGUCUGUUGCGUCGGCUGUGAAAACCCGAGGCUCAACCUCGGGCCUGCAGCCGAUACGGGCAGACUAGAGUUCGGCAGGGGAGACUGGAAUUCCUGGUGUAGCGGUGAAAUGCGCAGAUAUCAGGAGGGAACACCCGGUGGGCCGAAGGCGGGGUCUCUGGGGCCGAUA